CUGGCUGACUGAUUAUUCCCUUCAUUUAAAGCCCGCCCACCGACAUAGAAAUAUAGCCUCGACUUUCCCUGUAUAUUACAUUUUUUUACCCGGGGUUUGACAGACACUUCCAGCAACCAAAGAGCGCUGAUCUGUGAGGUAGUGAGGUAGCAGCAGCUGAGAUGAGAGCGCCAGAGCAGGAUUGCGCUCCAGACGCUCUCCAAACCAAGGACCCGGAGUGUGAGUGAACAUAAGCAGACAAUCCACCCUGCCCAUGCAAACCUUCUACUUUGUAACUUGUCGAUCACACAGUUCCAACGUUUGGGGAACUCUCAGAAACCAUACACAAGGUAUCUCUAACCCUUUUGCAGUACAUUAUUAUUACUGCUAUCAAAUGUAACAAAUCACAUAAAAUCACAAUAUGAUUGUUUUUGCAAGCACGUUCGGCCUACAUUUUUCUAUUUAAUUUAUCUUCCUGUUCAAUUCAGUAGCUAUUUAAUCGGACCAGUUGUUAUGCAUUAUUUAGCAGUUGUUGAGGAUAAACAAGGGGGUAUGUUUCUCCAAGUGCACACCCGUGGAAGCCAGGCAUUAUGGACUAGAGUGGAACAGGGUUGGAGGGCGUUUUUAAGUAGUAUAGAGCGGUUUUCAAGGAUACACGUUAGAAUGAACAACGACUGGGUACCAUACCACAAAGGUGAAACACUGCGAGGGACGUUUGUGCCGGUGAUCGGGUUUCUCCUCUGGCCCAUCAGCUGAAUAGGUGGGGCUUGAUCAAUGGCAGGAAACUGAAGGAUCAAAUGUCAUAAAAUGGUGCCAGGCUGCGACAUGAAGGCAGGGGCCAUGAAACCGUACCCUCAUCAUCAGACUGUACAGUAGAGAGACAGAGUCACACUCCUGGUGUAAGCAGGGCAUAAAAACACUGCUGCAUGAUAAGGAGCUGCACAGGGACUUUGAACAUUUUAUUAGUAUCUAUAAAAGAGGCACAGGACGAAGGACACAGUGUCUAUAAAGCACUAAUGGAGGAUCAAUUAAGAUGGUCAAGCUGCAGAAAGAGACUUUUACAGUGUAGGGUUUUAACACUAACCUUGUCCUUUAACACUAACGCUGAAACCACAAGGCUGGGAAAUUAAGCCUAGUUGUAAUUCCAGUGCAUCCCCAAUAUUUAAUGAUUGGGAACAGUAAAAAAGUUUGUUUGUUUGUAUGAGAAUAUAAAAGUGAGCGGUGGAGAAUUCCUACCUGCUUUAGUACAGAAUAAAAAUUACAUAAUAUGCUGCUUUUUUACAAACCCACACCCACACACACACACACACACACACACACACACACACACACACACACACACACACACACACAGAGUAUUGGGUUUCCAGAUUUUAUGGGGACUUUCCAUAAUUAUUUUGAUACUGUAUAAACUGUAUAUUCUGUCCCCUACCCCUACACACAACCCUAACAGAAAACUUUGCAUUUUUACAUUUUUCAAAAAAAAUCACUUAGUGUGAGUUAUAAGCUGUUUUCCUUUUGUGGAGCAAAAAUGUCCCCACAAGGACAAGGAUUUUGGAUAUUUACAUCUUUUUGGGGACAUUUUACCUGAACCAAACACACACACACACACACACACACGCACGCAACACACAGUUUAGAUUUGAACAUUUGCAUUUUAUUUAAUAAUAAAAAUUAUUUAACCUAAAUGUUAUUUCAUUUCCAUUUUCAUUAUUCUGAAAUACCAUUUAAACACUUUAAAUAUUGUAUCAGAGAAAAAUUGGACAAAAAAAAAAAUUAAAUAAACAAAUUAAAAUAAAUCAAUGGCCUGUUUCUACAUUUUCUGUCAGAGCCGCAGUAGGCUACAUUGCUAAAUAAACAUUCAUGUUUUCACUGAAAGGUUCAAUGCUUAUAUCACUCUUCUGUGGUCACUGAACAGUACCGUUCCCUUCACAUAUAAGAUCUGUAUUUUUCAGCCUCUAUUUGAGCAUAUGUAUAUGUUCACUUUGACUUUAAAUAAUGAUUUAAUUAUUUAAUGUGUACUUGAGUUUCUCUAAAGGCAGAUAUCAUAACCUGCUUUUAUUUUCUAAAUACACACUUCUGGUCAAAACUAAUAAGUCCCGAUUAAUUCCUGUAUCUUCCAUAACUUUCCUCUCUCUCUCUGUUUCUGUCUGUCAGGACAUAGCAUGGCAAAUUGAAUUACAUUUUGAACACACGACUGGCCAUCUAUCAAAAGCAAGUCAAAAAUCUUCCCUGUGCAUGUUUAUGAAAGACAUUUCUAAACUCUUCCUGACCUGAAAUGUUUAUAUCCAGAGUUUACGUUGUGAACAUUUUAAAUGUCAUCAAAACCACCUUGCUCCAGGGGUAUAAAUUGAUUCCAUUUGUUGCCUGCCCAAGCAACUGGCCUCGGCCGCAGGAGCCAUACGAGGGGGAAACCGAGAAGCUGGAGAAAUCAGUUCUGAGAGGAGACACCGUGGACUUUCAGAGGGCUUUGUAAUGAGUGAAAAUCAGGGAUGGGGUUCAGUGGGAAAUCGCAUACCAUGCCUCAAUCAGCAACAUGUCCCAACAACCAGGGAGGCAUGUGUCAAUCAAACAGAUGUGGGUUUGUGGGGAACCAGUGAAUCAGUUAUAAGGCUUUUAAGCCAUCAUUAAAGCAAAACUAAGAGAUGCUCUGCUGCACUAAUGUUAUACAUGUUAAUACCAUACUGUCAAUAGUAUCAUAAGACCAGGGGCAUCAGUCACUAUUUAUUUAUUUUUUUUGUUUGUUUGUUUGUUGGAUGGGACACCAAUGGCAGUUUUGGCUCACUUAAUGCAUUAGACAAAAUUAUGAUGGGUAAGGGGAGAAAAGUCUACAUAGAAUUUCCAUGGUGUGCAAGAAUAGUCAGAUAUAAUUUUUGAUAAGUGUGUUCGUGUGUGUGUGUGUGUGUGUGUGUGUGUGUGUGUGUGUGUGUGUGUGUGUGUAUACAGGUUUGGCUAUUGUGAGGGCCAAAUGUCUUCACUUAAAAUAUUAAAGUAAAAUAUUAUGACAACCGACUAUUGAGGACAUUUUAAUGGUCCUCACUAGUUAAAAAGGUUUAAGUCAGCCAAAACAUGUUUUUAUUUAAAUCUAGUGUUUUGCACGUUUCUGUUAUGGGAAGGUGUUAGGUUAGGUGAUAGAAAAUAUCAUUAACCUGAUAUUAAAUCAAUGAAAGUCAAUGCAAUGUCUUUACUAAUAUAGUGAAAGUGUGUGUGUGUGUGUGUGUGUGUGU